rnacentral:rRNA from 1 species
CGAACGGGCUAGUGCUUCGCACUAGUCUCUUUCUGGGGUUGUUACUCUAAGGCUACCUGCUAAAGUUAUUGCUUUAAAGCAGGGGUUUAGGAGACUUUCCCCGAAAGGGGCCAGUGCGGAGCACUGGCCAGUGGCGAACGGGUGAGUAACACGUGGGUAAUCUACCCUCGAGUGGGGAAUAAGCUUCCGAAAGGGGGUCUAAUGCCGCAUAACGUUUCAUAACGAUGGUUAUGAAACCAAAGCCCAAAAGGCGCUCGAGGAGGAGCCUGCGUCCUAUCAGCUUGUUGGCAGGGUAAUGGCCUACCAAGGCUAUGACGGGUAGCCGGCCUGAGAGGGUGUCCGGCCACACUGGAACUGAGACACGGUCCAGACUCCUACGGGAGGCAGCAGUGGGGAAUUUUGCGCAAUGGGGGAAACCCUGACGCAGCGACGCCGCGUGAGUGAAGAAGGCCUUCGGGUUGUAAAGCUCUUUCGGCGGGGAAGAAAUCGCAUCUCCUAAUACGGGGUGUGGAUGACGGUACCCGAAUAAGAAGCACCGGCUAACUACGUG